CAGUGUGUACACACUACUACACUAUUUAUUCAACACAAUGGCCAACUGUGGAUGUUCAGCAGACUCUGCCAUAACUGGCUAGUAAGAGAGAGACAGUGUGCAAGACUGUUUAUGCUGGACCAACCCCAAUGGAGCCGACAAACACAGG